GCCAGCAGCUAGCUCUCUGCAACUCUCACAUGGUCGCCCACUGAAGCUAAGCAGGGCUGCGCCCGGUCAGUACCUGGAUAGGAGACCACAUGGGAAAGCUAGGUUGCUGCCGGAA
rfam:Danio rerio chromosome 14 genomic contig CTG1748, GRCz11 reference primary assembly.